CAGGACUUGGCAGCUGGUCCAGUCGUCCCUUCUCCCUCAAACUCCACGAUUAGAAAUCAACUGUUGUUGAGAGGUCAUCCACUAAAUGAAUGCCAAGUGUAGAGGAUGGCAGUGGAUAGUCAAAAAAGGAUUCCUGGUGUUUGAAGCCUACAAGUCAGAGGACCCAUCUUCAGCCACAAGAGAAGAAGCCGUCUCAUGUUUCCGAGGCACAUAAGGUGCAUGUAGUCGAGGGGGAAACCAGAGACCAUGUCUAGGGAUGUUUCUUCAAGAGGUGAUGGACCAUGAUGAUGAUCAGUCUCUGUCUUGUUUC